rnacentral:rRNA from 1 species
AUUGAACGCUGGCGGCAGGCCUAACACAUGCUAGUCGAGCGGAGCGGCAGACGGGUGAGUAAUGACUAGGAAUCUGCCUGGUAGUGGGGGAUAACGUCCGGAAACGGGCGCGAAUACCGCAUACUAUCAGACGAGCCUAGGUCGGAUUAGCUAGGUGGUGGGGUAAAGGCCUAACAAGGCGAAGAUCAGUAACUGGUCUGCGAGGAGGAUCAGGCACACUGGAACGGAGACACGGUCCAGACUCCGACGGGAGUCAGCAGUGGGGAAGAUUGCACAAUGGGCGCAAGCCUGAUGCAGCCAUGCCGCGUGUUGGAAGAAGGCCUUCGGGUUGUAAAGCACUUUCAGCGGGGAGGCGUUACCCGCAGAAGAAGCACCGGCUAACUCCGUGCCAGCAGCCGCGGUAAUAC